GAAGAGCUGAUAGUGUUGAUGAUGUUGGUAAACCAUCUUUUAAUACACUGGCUAAUGCUCUUCACAAAAUGGAUUGCAAACCUCAAGCUGAAUAUAUAAAUGGAGAAGCUCAAGCAAGUGCUAGUGAUGAGGAAACUGAUGGACCUACAUUGACCCCACCACCACAAGAUGCUGUAAAUGUAAAUGAAUGGUUAGAAGAAGGCAC